GGCCCUCUGACAUGUGUCCAGUAAAAACACCAGAGAAGGACUGACAGGGUCAUAAACCACUUGCUACUGCAGCCUUGGCAUUGCCAUGAUUUCAUGCUUAUUGCAGCAGAAGCCAGAGCUGAGUGCAGCCUGUGAUGCCAACAAAUGCCAGAAGUCCAGGAAGACAGUGAGCAAGAGAGUCAUGUAAUCCAGAGAGCUCUUCAUGCUCAGCCAUCCCUUUCCAGGCUCUGCAGGACAGCUAGAGUCCCAAGGCAUCCUAACCACGAAUCAGAAAGCUCCUGUUUCUUGAUUUUGGUCAGCCUUCACUCUUAUACUUCUGUCCUGCUCUGAGAAAGAGCUCAGUUUUUAGCUGCAGUAUUUUUCUUUGGCAGACUGUACAUGUAUUAUCCAGCUGGAGCACCAUACUAGACUGAGGAAAAGCCUUAAGGAAGGGUUAUGUAGAAUAAGGAAUAAAGAAUAUUAUCUUGUCGAUUUAAUCUGUUAUUUUUUAUUUGCAUUCUUCUUCCCUGCUUUAUUCUUUAAUCUUAUAUUAGCAUGUGAAGUAUUUCUUUUCUUUUUUUCCUCUCUUACAAUAGAUUGCAGACAACUGUUUGCCAACCCAGAAGGCUUAAAUUACAAUAUGAAUACAGACUGUGAAUUGCCUUAGAUUCUUCAUAAUUACUGAAGACAGACUUCAUGCAGCAAUGUAACUAUCUGUAUAGAAUGCUGAAAGGCUUUUAUCCUGAUGAUUACAUGCAGAAUGCAUAAAACAGUGUACAGUGUUACAGUUAGGUUGCAGUUCUUCUGCCUUUGGCGUACCCUCAAGCUCCAGCUCCUAGGAGAGUCUUUGACCCUGCAAGGGAGGAUGGAAACCUGGAGCCAGAGUUCUGCAAAGAGGUCCUGUGAAUCUCAUCUGAACUCAAUUGUUCUAAUCCCAGAAAGCAAACUGUAGCACAGAAAGCCAAUACACAAUAAGGAAGUGUUCUAGGUUCAUGUAUGUAUAUGAGCCAGAAGCAGGAUAUGGGAAUCUUGGCUAGGAAUACACUAAUGCAAGACAAAAACUCAGAACAGAAUUUUUACUUUGUCAGGACAGAGUGUUAUAAAAUACUGCCUGGAGUACCAGACACUGCUCUGUACAACUGCAAAGCAACAGCAAGCCCAGCCAUUUCCCACCAGCUCCUCAACUGCUGCAGUUCUGGGGGCUGGGACCUUCUAAUUUGACACUCAAACUCCUCAUCCAUGAGAAGCUGCAGUUGCUAAUAGCAUUCUCAGCAGCCCUAUGGAAGGCAGUACCCAUUCCUUCCAAGGAUGGAUUUAACUCAACCCUCAGGGUCACACAUCAAUUUAAAUUAUUUCAGUAAAAGAAGAAAAAAUAUAGGGUAAAGGGGAAAAUUAAUAGAAAUGAGCAAUUGAAUCCCUUGAAGUGUCAUAUUAUUUAAAACUUUUAUUUCUGUUCUGUAAAACAUAAAUAGGAAAUUGAAAAGGCAGCAAAAAAAAAAAACAGUAUGCCAUAAUUUCAGUAAGGUUUAUGGUAUAUUCUCUAUUAUUUUUCUUCAAAUAAUACAAUUGUGAUUCUUUCCCAAAUAAACACCUUCAGUUCUUUUUGGCA
ensembl:lncRNA